GGGACUUUGGAUUGGGCAGAGGGGAGUGUGGGAGGGGAGGGGAUAUGGGAGUGGGAAGGAUGGUGGAAUGAGGUGGAUUGUAUUAAUCUAUGUACAUGUAUGAUUGCAGGAAUGGGGUGACUGUGCACUGUGUCUAACCAGAGAAAUGAAAAGUUGCCUCCAUUUGUGUUUGAUAGUCAAAAUGCAUUCUGCUGUUAUAUAUAACUAAUUGAAAAAAAUUCAUAAAGGACUAAGGCUUAAAAGGAAGUCUGGACACUUUAAUGGUCAUAAAAAUAUGUAUACUUUUCUUAUAUAAAAUUUAAACUUAUUAAUUAAAUUGAAAAAAAAAAAAAAAAAACAACUAGCACAUGUACUAGUUCAAACCUGAAAGGGCAUUAAGGCUUGGGAACCAAGCUCACUCUUUGGAGGAUGGUUUUUCUAUUCUUGGUGGAUUCAAAAGUUUAAUUGACAUAGUAUGGAUUAUGCUAUUGUUUAUUGCUUUCAUGUUUGUCUCCCUUUUACAAUGAAACAUUGGGUCAACUACAGAAGCAGCUAUUGGGGUGGGGAGGGAGUAACAGAGAGAGAAAUUAAGAUUACGGCAUUAUAUAAAAUGUUAAGCCUAGAAGAUAAUGAUGUUUUUUGAUUUAAAGGGUUAAAUAAUGAGCAUAGAGGGGGUAACGAUGUACCACAAAUACUCCAAAUGAUGUAGUGUCCAAAAGAUCCCCACCUUAAUUGUAAUAUAUAUGCCUUUCUCCUAGUAAACAAGAUAUUUUUAAAAAGUCAACAGGAUUUCUAGAGAGCUCAUUGUGGUUUAGCUCCUCUUUAUUGUAAAGGUCAUGUUUCUCUUUCUUGUAAAAGUUAGGUCUGCAGGGCUGGGGUUGUAGCUCAGUGGUAGAACACUUACCUAGCAGGUGUGAGGCACUGGGUUUGAUUCUUACACCACAUAAAAAUAAAAUAAGGUAUUGUGCCCAUCUACAACU
rnacentral:lncRNA from 1 species